rnacentral:rRNA from 2 species
GGCCUCAGAUCAGGGAGGAUCACC